ACCAGGACUAAACCAGGACUAAACCAGGUCUAAACCAGGACUAAACCAGGACUAAACCAGGUCUAAACCAGGACUAAACCAGGACUAAAUCAGGACUAAAUCAGGACUAAACCAGGACUAAACCAGGACUAAACCAGGACUAAACCAGGACUAAAUCAGGACUAAAUCAGGACUAAACCAGGACUAAACCAGGACUAAACCAGGACUAAAUCAGGACUAAACCAGGUCUAAACCAGGACUAAACCAGGACUAAAUCAGGACUAAACCAGGUCUAAACCAGGACUAAACCAGGACUAAACCAGGACUAAACCAGGUCUAAACCAGGACUAAACCAGGACUAAACCAGGACUAAACCAGGUCUAAACCAGGACUAAACCAGAUCUAAACCAGGACUAAACCAGGACUAAACCAGGUCUAAACCCGGACUAAACCAGGACUAAAUCAGGACUAAACCAGGACUAAACCAGGUCUUAACCAGGACUAAACCAGGACUAAACCAGGACUAAACCAGGACUAAACCAGGACUAAACCAGGUCUAAACCAGGACUAAAUCAGGACUAAACCAGGACUAAACCAGGACUAAACCAGGACUAAACCAGGACUAAACCAGGACUAAAUCAGGACUAAACCAGGUCUAAACCAGGACUAAACCAGGUCUAAACCAGGUCUAAACCAGGACUAAACCAGGACUAAACCAGGUCUAAACCAGGUCUAAACCAGGACUAAACCAGGACUAAACCAGGACUAAACCAGGACUAAACCAGGACUAAACCAGGUCUAAACCAGGACUAAAUCAG
ensembl:lncRNA